ensembl:lncRNA prothymosin alpha-B-like
AAGAUUUGCUCCGUUUUGUCCGUUUCAUCGCUGUGGUUAUUGUUUCUAGUGGGGAAAGGACGGCUGCAGCGGCGGACAGGAGGGGGGCGCAGCGGCGGACAGGAGGGGGGCGUGGCCUCCGGGUUUAGAAAUUCUAUCCAUUGUUCCACUCCAACGCGCGAAGAGAACACCUCUGUGGCGCCAACAGCCAAUCAGCUGCCGCCGACCUCCUCUGGGCGCCGCCCACCAGCCUAUAUUAAAGGCUCGGCCGUCAGCAGCAUUGGCCACUGGCACAAUAUAACACUGAUUGAUCCACUAACCGAGGAGAGGGAUUUACUUUAUUCAACCUUUCAUUUCAGCCGUCCUUUAUUUUAUUCAACUAAAACAAUGGCAGACACAAAAGUUGACUCCGGCUCGGAUAUCUCUGCCAAGGACCUGAAGGAGAAGAAGCUGCUGGAGGAGAAGGAGAACGGCAAAGAUGCCGCCACCAACGGAAAGGAGAAUGAGGAGAACGGCGAGCCUGAGGUAGAUGAUGAAGAUGAUGAUGAGGUUGACGAGGAGGACGAGGAAGACGAUGUAGAAGGUGACGAGGAAGACGAGGAGGACGAUGAUGAUGAAAUUGAGGGCGGCACAAAACGGGCAGCUGAGGAUGACGACGACGACGACGAGGACGACGUCGAAACCAAGAAGCAGAAAACCGACGACGACGAUUGAUGCGUUUCCCCCCCACGCCACUUCCUGGUUCUUCACCUCUGACUGUUUUUAUAUGUCACCGGUGGGGGGGCGGGAGGACUGAUUUUAAAAGGAGAAAAAAAUAAUAAUAAAGAAAAAAAAUCCAACAUGGUCAUUAGCAAGUAGAGUUCAACAAACAUCUACCACACACACACACACACACACACACACACUCACACACACUCACUCUCACACACACUCAAUCUCCCCGCAAAACUGCAAAUUUUCUAGAGGAACCCCCCACCCCCACCACAUCGAUGCAGAAAUCCGGCUCAACAACAACAACAACACGAAAGGAGAAUUUGUUUGUAUUUUUAUUUACAUUUUAUAUUUUUGUACAUAUUGUUCGGAGGGGGGGGCAGUUUCUCUCAGCAGCGAUCUCGUCAGACCAAAUCGGUGCUUCUUUAACGAAAGAUUUUACUUGGUUGACCAUGUUACGAUAUCUCAACAGAUACUAGAAAAACCAGUUACAACCAUGACAGACGACCUUAAAGCCGUUGAACUCAGAGCAUUCCAGUAAAUUUAAUGUAUGUACUUUAGCUGUACCAUAACUAGUUUGUUUGUAUGGGGGGGGUAAGGCCGAAGGAAAGAGCCUCUUUUCUUUUCUUUUGUUUUAUGACGGCCUGUUUUGAUGUAUGUGCGAAGUUUGUUGUUUGACAAUAAACCGGACUUUUAUUUUGUGAGUUGUACUUUGUAUCUCUGCUUGUUUUUUCCUCAGUGACGAAGACGUUCGGGUGAAGGUGAACCAGUCCUGCGCUCAAAUACUCCUGACGUACAUGUAUUUGUGUAUUUCCAUUUCAUUGGUAACUUAUACUUUAACUCCACCAGAUUUCAGGGCUUGUAUUGCACAUGUUUU